rnacentral:rRNA from 1 species
UACGAAGGGGGCUAGCGUUAAUCGGAAUUACUGGGCGUAAAGCGUGCGCAGGCGGUUUCGCAAGUCAGAUGUGAAAGCCCCGGGCUCAACCUGGGAAUUGCAUUUGAAACUACGAGGCUAGAGUGUGUCAGAGGGGGGUAGAAUUCCACGUGUAGCAGUGAAAUGCGUAGAGAUGUGGAGGAAUACCGAUGGCGAAGGCAGCCCCCUGGGAUGACACUGACGCUCAUGCACGAAAGCGUGGGGAGCAAACAGG